rnacentral:misc_RNA from 1 species
AAGUCGUAACAAGGUUUCCGUAGGUGAACCUGCGGAAGGAUCAUUGAGAAUUUGGAGGUGCAGGUUUUCUCUUUGUUGGAUGGAUCUUGGUCCUGAAGGCUUUGGGGGGGCUUGUAUUUUCUUUGUGAACUGUUUUUUGGGUUUUUGAUAUUUUUUUUGGUACUUUGUAUUUUUUUAAAAAGUUUCUUUAUAGACAACUUUCAGCAAUGGAUCUCUAGGCUCUU